UACGUAGGGGGCUAGCGUUGUCCGGAAUCAUUGGGCGUAAAGCGCGCGUAGGCGGCCCGGUAAGUCCGCUGUAAAAGUCAAAGGCUCAACCUUUGAAUGUCAGUGGAUACUGCCAGGCUAGAGUCCGGAAGAGGCGAGUGGAACUCCUGGUGUAGCGGUGGAAUGCGCAGAUAUCAGGAAGAACACCGACGGCGAAGGCAGCUCGCUGGGACGGUACUGACGCUGAGAAGCGAAAGCAUGGGGAGCGAACAGG
rnacentral:rRNA from 1 species